GAAUGCAUCUAAGUCCGAAAUUUGUCCUGAAUGUAUAUAUCUUCACCGACCGGACCCCGAAUUGAGCGAUUUUUUUUCUGGUGACGUAUAAAGCCCAGAGCUACCCCCUGGAAAGCGAAAAUACAAAAUUUGAUGUGUUGAGAUUUUUAUAAAAAAUAAUUACCGCAAUAGUCCACAAAAAGUGUUCCACGGGGUCCGUACCGGGCGCGGUUCACGGCCGGGUCCGCCACCAUUCGCUAUCGUCCGACUGGUGCCAAAUAUCGACACGGGAGACUAACGACACGGGGUAGAUCACGAUGGAGUCAU
rnacentral:misc_RNA from 1 species